CGCGCAGGCGGCCUUGUAAGUCAGAUGUGAAAGCCCGGGGCUCAACCCCGGAAGUGCAUUUGAUACUGCAAGACUUGAGUAUGGGAGGGGGAAGUGGAAUUCCUGGUGUAGAGGUGAAAUUCGUAGAUAUCAGGAGGAACACCAGUGGCGAAGGCGACUUCCUGGACCGAUACUGACGCUGAGGCGCGAAGGCGUGGGGAGCAAACA
rnacentral:rRNA from 1 species